UCAGUGGAAAAGAGAAAAGGAACAAAUGAAUUUAAAAAAUACUUAAUGUUUGAAAAUAAACUUUAAGCAUCACCUAAUCAUUUACAUGCUAGUGUAGCUCUUUUAUUAUUUACUUUAGUACUGAAUUUUUAAAUGCUAGAUUGUAAGGUCUUCUUUUAACCCUUUCUGAUGCCUAGCACAUAAUACAUAACAUACAUAGCUGUAGAUUCAUUAAUUAGUUAAAUCUCAGUUCACAAAAAGUUGGGAGGAACUGCAUUACUGUACUCCGCUUUCACCACUCAGAUGAGGAUAACCCUAUAUUAUAUAUCCAAGAACAUCAGACCUGUUCGAUCUAGAUGAUAUAUUCAUUUAGAGAUAAUUGGAGUACACGAAAUGAAAUGAUGAUCCUCAACCUCAUUUCAAUAAGACUGCUUUCCUUUUCCCAAACUUUUUUUUUUUGUCAAAUGAUGAAUCCUUACCUUAGUAGUUCAGGUUUGGGGGUUUUUUGAACACUGAACUAGGUACCUAAUCAACUGUCCUAUUUUUAACCAGCACCAUAUAAUUUUGGUAAUUACUGCUUUGUAUAAAUAUACUUUGAGGUUUGUUACCAUGAGACCUUUAGGUAUAUCUCAUGCUUUAUACAGACCAGUCAAAUUACUGAUUCUUUGAGAUUGAAAGGUAAUGUCUUUGUUUCCAAAGUCAAGUUGAUUAUUUGUGAGAAUUGUGAGAAUUUGUGAGAAUUUGUGAAAAUUGUGAGAAUUAGGCUAUGCCUAAGGUCGAUUUGUGUUGAUCGUUGUUGUUGGGUACUGAGGUUAUGGAACUGCAUCCACUCACCUUCCACCUCAAUGAUUUGAAUUGUUAGAGAAACCCAGGAUACUAUAAGCUAACCUUACUGAUCUAUGUAGAUUGAAUUCCUUGGAGUAAUAAAAAUGUUAUUAGUAGGGGCAUUAGAAAUUACAGUCUACCUUCCUCCUUUUCAGGUUUAGGAAAACAAAGUGAAAGGAGAGGGAAGUACACUGAACUGGCUGUGUAACCCUAGGUAUGUCAUUUUGACCUCUCAAUGCUCCCAAGACAACUAAGUUGUAGAACUGGUUGUAAGUCUUUGGCACAAUGGAUAGAACCAGUGGUUAAAAUGCUAGACUUGGGGUCAGAAAGAUCUGAUUAAAUCUGGCCUCUGACAUUUACUAGCUUUAUAACCUUGGACUACUCACUUUAACCUCUGUUGUCUCAAUUUUCUCAACUGUAAAUGGGGAUAAUAAUAGUACCUACCUCCCAGGGUUGUUGUGAAGAUCAAAUAAUAUUUGUGAAGUACUUAGCAUAGUGCCUGGCAUAAAGUAGGAACUAUAUAACUACUUGUUAUUGGUGGUGGUGGUGGUAGUGAUAAUAGUAUCAUCCAAAUAAGGAAUUUUGUCACUGGGGGUUCCCUAAAUCAGUGAAAUCAAAAUUAAAAACCUGAACCAAAAAAUGAUUGAACCACACACCUAUUUUUGAUGCCUCAUUUAUCCAACAUCAUUGGAGAAAUGAUCUGUUACACAAAUGGCAUUUCCUAGAUAAUUGGAUUAACCAUGUAAGUACCCAAACUUGUUUCUAUUUCCAGAAUUUUUGAGGAAAAUGACUGUCAAAUAUAUCAUGCACUCCCUCAGCUUUCUUCCACUGUAAAUUAUUAACAGAAUUGAGCUUUUUCUUCAUAACUCAGGAUGGCAAGGAUUGAGUCAAAUUGAAAAAAGUUACAAAUGCCAAACCUCAGAGAAGUUAUACUUCACUCUAAAGGCAGAAAGGAACCACUGAAACAUCUAAGGAAGAGAAGGCACAUGAUCAAAUCUGUGUGUUUUUUUUUAAACCAAGCUUCAAAAGCAAGUAAUCCAAGCUGAGCAAUGGCUAAACUUCUUUAAUUUAGAGGCUAAUGGCACAAAAAUUUGACUUGAAAAAAAAUUGGAUCAUUUUUACAGAUGAGGAAACUGAGACCCAGGCAAAUAAUUUAGAACAACCCCCAGAAGCCAAAAUUGAGUAGUGAAAAAUGUGGAAGAACAAGGAACUACCAUCAUAACUCUGGAGGGGAAGAGAGGAAGCAAAGCAGAGCCAGAUAGAACCUGGAAGGUUAGAAGCAUCACUUGAGAAAGAGGGAACAGGCUGUGACAGGUAUUUACUGAUCUGAAAUCCUAAGGUUUGGGGUUUUUUUCUCCCAUCAAAUGAGUUUUGGGUGCAUA